rnacentral:rRNA from 1 species
CCUACGGGUGGCAGCAGUGGGGAAUAUUGCACAAUGAGGGAAACCCUGAUGCAGCAACGCCGCGUGGGUGAAGGAGCGUUUCGGCGCGUAAAGCCCUGUCAGCGGGGAAGAAGAAAGACGGUACCCGAUCAAGAAGCCCCGGCUAAAUACGUGCCAGCAGCGGCGGGAAAACGUAGGGGGCGAGCGUUAAUCGGAAUUAAUGGGUGUACAGGAAGCGUAGGCGGCGAGGUAAGCCUGAAGUGGAAGCCCGGGGCCCAACCGCGGAACUGCUUUGGGGACUGUUUUGCUGGAGUAUGGGAGGGGUAAGCGGAAUUCCUGGUGAAGCGGUGAAAUGCGUAGAUAUCAGGAGGAACACCGGUGGCGAAGGCGGCUUACUGGACCAUAACUGACGUUGAGGGUCGAAAGCGUGGGGAGCGAACAGGAUUAGAUACCCCAGUAGUC